UCCAAACUGGGACCGUCGGUCUACCGAGCAAUGUCACCCGCUCGGUGGAAGAUCUUCCCUUUGUCGU
rnacentral:pre_miRNA from 1 species